rnacentral:sRNA from 1 species
UAGAGUGGUACCCUCCUGGGGUAAUGUU